AACGAACGCUGGCGGCAGGCCUAACACAUGCAAGUCGAGCGCGCCCUUCGGGGUGAGCGGCGGACGGGUGAGUAACGCGUGGGAACGUGCCCUUCUCUGCGGAAUAGCCUCGGGAAACUGAGAGUAAUACCGCAUACGCCCUUUGGGGGAAAGAUGUAUCGGAGAAGGAUCGGCCCGCGUUGGUUUAGGUAGUUGGUGGGGUAAUGGCCGACCAAGCCGACGAUCCAUAGCUGGUUUGAUAGGAUGAUCAGCCACACUGGGACUGAGACACGGCCCAGCCUCCUACGGGAGGCAGCAGUGGGGAAUCUUAGACAAUGGGGGCAACCCUGAUCUAGCCAUGCCGCGUGAGUGAUGAAGGCCUUAGGGUUGUAAAGCUCUUUCAGCUGGGAAGAUAAUGACGGUACCAGCAGAAGAAGCCCCGGCUAACUCCGUG
rnacentral:rRNA from 1 species